CCUACGGGUGGCAGCAGUGAGGAAUAUUGGUCAAUGUGCGAGAGCCUGAACCAGCCAAGUCGCGUGCAGGAUGACGGCCCUACGGGUUGUAAACUUCUUUUGUCAGGGCGCAAUUGGGUCCACUCGUGGGCUUAGCGAGGGUACCUUAAGAAAAAGCAUCUACUAACUCCGUGCCAGCAGCCGCGGUAAUACGGAGGAUGCGAGCGUUAUCCGAAUUUAUUUGGUUUAAAGGGUGCGUAGGCGGAAUAGCAAGUCAGCGGUAAAAAUUCGUGGCUAAACCCCGUAGUGCCGUUGAAACUGAUGUUCUUGAGUGGGCGAGAAGUAUGCGGAAUGCGUGGUGUAGCGGUGAAAUGUAUAGAUAUCACGCAGAACUCCGAUUGCGAAGGCAGCAUACCGGCGCACAACUGACGCUGAAGCACGAAAGCGUGGGUAUCGAACAGGAUUAGAUACCCUUGUAGUC
rnacentral:rRNA from 1 species